UGUUCUCCAUUGCUGUAAUGUUGCCAUCUGAGAAUAUUACAUAAAUGGAAUCAUUCAGUGUUUAAUCUUUCAAAACUGUCUUUUUCAUUCAGUAUAAUCCUCUUAAGACUUGUCUAGGUUUUUGCGUGUGUCCAUAUUUUAUUUUUUUAUUUUACUGUUAGCUGUGUAAAGUUUCAAGAGAGCAAUGAUAAAACCCAGCUCAUCUUUGGCUCUGUCACCAACAUACAUGCAAAGGAUGCAGCACCAGUGGAGAAAAUCGACACCAUGCUGAUCCUGGAAGGCAGUGGAAACCUGGUGCUGUACACAGGUGUGGUUCGGGUGGGGAAAGUCUUUAUUCCUGGCCUGCCAGCGCCUUCCCUGAUGAUGUCCAGCACAAUGCCUCGGCCCAGCACACCACUGGACAGUGUUAGUACUCCCAAACCUCUUAGCAAAUUACUUGGGUCAUUGGACGAGGUAGUACUGUUGUCCCCGGUUCCAGAACUGAGGGAUUCUUCAAAACUUCAUGACUCUCUCUAUAAUGAGGACUGUACUUUCCAACAGUUUGGAACUUACAUUCAUUCUGUCAGAGAUCCUGUCCAUAACAGAGUAACUCUAGAACUGAGUAAUGGCUCCAUGGUUAGGAUCACUAUUCCUGAAGUUGCUACCUCUGAAUUAGUACAAACAUGUUUGCAAGCGAUUAAAUUUAUCCUGCCAAAGGAAGUAGCAGUUCAGAUGCUUGUGAAGUGGUACAAUGUCCACAGUGCUCCAGGAGGACCCAGUUACCACUCAGAGUGGAAUUUAUUUGUGAUUUGCCUCAUGAAUAUGAUGGGUUAUAACACAGACCGCUUAGCAUGGACCCGAAACUUUGACUUUGAAGGAUCACUUUCUCCUGUCAUUGCUCCCAAAAAAGCAAGGCCUUCUGAGACUGGAUCCGAUGAUGACUGGGAGUAUUUACUAAAUUCAGACUACCACCAGAAUGUUGAGUCUCAUCUUUUGAACAGAUCUCUAUGUUUGAGUUCUUUGGAAAUUUCAAGGGUGAAGCAUGAAGAUUUUUCACAGAAUCUCAGUCUGGAUUCUUCUACUCUUCUCUUUACUCAUAUUCCUGCAAUAUUUUUUGUGCUUCACCUUGUCUAUGAGGAGUUGAAGUUGAAUACUCUAAUGGGAGAAGGAAUUCGUUCACUUGUUGACCUUCUCGUUCAGUUGGCAAGGGACUUACACUUGGGCCCUUAUGUGGAUCAUUACUAUAGAGACUAUCCAACACUUGUCAGAACCACUGGACAAGUGUGCACAAUUGAUCAAGGUCAAACAGGAUUUAUGCAUCAUCCGUCAUUUUUUACUUCUGAGCCACCAAGUAUUUAUCAGUGGGUGAGUUCCUGUCUGAAGGGUGAAGGAAUGCCACCCUACCCUUACCUCCCUGGGAUUUGUGAAAGAAGCAGACUUGUUGUCUUGAGUAUUGCCCUCUACAUCCUUGGUGAUGAGAGUUCCGUUUCUGAUGAUGCCUCAAAAUAUUUAUUGAAAAUAACUAUAGCCCCACCGAAGGCACAAACAGAGCAAGAAGAAAACAGUUUCCAACAUCCUGCAUCAGUGUCUAGCCUCGCUGAAAGAUUAGUUGUCUGGAUGACCAGUGUAGGAUUUACUUUAAGAGAUUUAGAGACUCUUCCCUUUGGAAUUGCUCUCCCUAUCAGAGAUGCAAUUUAUCAUUGCCGCGAGCAGCCUGCUUCAGAUUGGCCAGAAGCCGUCUGCCUCUUGAUUGGACGUCAAGAUCUUUCUAAGCAGGCCUGUGAAGGAAAUUUACCCAGAGGGAAAUCUGUGCUCUCAUCAGAUGUUCCUUCAGGAACAGAAACUGAGGAGGAAGAUGACGGCAUGAAUGACAUGAAUCACGAGGUUAUGUCCUUAAUAUGGAGUGAAGAUCUGCGGGUUCAGGAUGUGCGGAGGCUCCUUCAGAGUGCGCACCCUGUGCGCGUCAAUGUGGUGCAGUACCCAGAGCUCAGCGACCAUGAGUUCAUCGAGGAAAAGGAGAACAGAUUGCUCCAGUUGUGUCAGCGAACUAUGGCCCUUCCAGUGGGACGAGGCAUGUUCACCUUGUUUUCAUAUCACCCUGUUCCAACAGAACCACUACCGAUUCCUAAAUUGAAUCUGACUGGACGAGCCCCUCCUCGGAACACAACAGUAGACCUGAACAGUGGGAACAUCGAUGUGCCCCCUAACAUGACAAGCUGGGCCAGCUUCCACAAUGGGGUGGCUGCUGGACUGAAGAUUGCUCCUGCUUCCCAGAUCGACUCAGCUUGGAUAGUUUACAAUAAGCCCAAGCAUGCUGAGUUAGCCAAUGAGUAUGCUGGCUUCCUCAUGGCGCUGGGUCUGAAUGGGCACCUUACCAAGCUGGCUACUCUCAAUAUCCAUGACUAUUUAACCAAGGGCCAUGAAAUGACAAGCAUUGGACUGCUCCUUGGAGUCUCGGCUGCAAAACUAGGCACCAUGGAUAUGUCAAUUACUCGGCUCCUUAGCAUUCACAUUCCUGCUCUCCUACCCCCAACGUCAACAGAACUUGAUGUUCCUCACAAUGUGCAGGUGGCUGCAGUGGUUGGCAUUGGCCUUGUGUAUCAAGGGACAGCCCACAGACACACUGCAGAAGUCCUGUUGGCUGAAAUAGGGCGGCCCCCAGGUCCUGAAAUGGAAUACUGCACUGACAGAGAGUCAUACUCUUUAGCUGCUGGCCUGGCCCUGGGCAUGGUUUGCUUGGGGCAUGGCAGUAACUUGAUAGGUAUGUCUGACCUCAACGUGCCCGAGCAGCUGUAUCAGUACAUGGUUGGAGGUCACAGACGCUUCCAAGUGGGAACACACAGGGAGAGACAUAAAUCUCCAAGUUACCAAAUCAAAGAAGGUGAUACCAUAAAUGUGGAUGUGACUUGUCCAGGUGCUACUCUAGCUUUGGCUAUGAUCUACUUAAAAACCAAUAACAGGUAUUUGUACCAUUGCCCGCCUGACUGGGACAGUAUGACAUCUUUUCUCACCUGUUUAUUUUCCCUAUGAUAAAGCAGCAUGGUUUUCAUUCUCAUAAGUAUUGUAAGUUACUCAGAUUUCAUUAAGAAAGAGUGUAUCUUGCUGUUUUAUCCUGUUUGACCAUAUGCAGUUGUCCUUCAGUAUCUGGAGGGCAUUAGCUCUUGAACUCCACAGAUACCAAAAUCCAAGGAUGCUCAGGUCCCAUAUAGAGAGCAGUGUAGUAUUUGCAUAAAAACUGUGUGCAUCUUCUUCUAUACUUCUUUUUUCUUGUUACUGGGAAUGGAACCCAGGGGCUUGACCCUAAACAUCCCUAGCUCUUUGUUUUUCAUUUUAAGACAGGGUCUUGCUAAGUCACUAUGUUGCCCAGGUUGGGCUUGAACUUGGGGUCCUCCUGCCUCAGCCUCCCAGACAUGUGCCAUGAUGUGUAGCCCUCUAUUGUACGUUUAAAUCAUCUCUAGAUUACUAAUAGUAUUUAAUACUAUAAAAAUGCCAACCAAAUGGUUGUUAUACUGUAUUGUUCAGUGAAUAAUGACAAAAAGACUGCGUAUAUUCAACACAGACAGUUUUUCCCCCAAAUACUUUUUUUUUUUUUGGUACCGGGGAUCAAACUCGGGCCCUUGUGUUUGCAAGGCAGGCGGUGAAACCACUGAGCUAAAUCUCCGGCCCCCCCAAAUACUUUAAUUGGACGUGGAACCCACAGAUGCAGGGACCUAAGUGUAAUUGCCAGUUUUUACUUGUUUCUGUUUUGUGGUUAUGUCAUUGACAUCCAGACAGCACCCAAGUUGCUUUUUAUUAAUUUGUGUAUCAUGAGGAAUGGUUGAUACUUAAUAUUACUCUUUUUCUUAGCUAGCAUUUAUAAAAAUGGUUUCUACUUAGUUCAAAAGCUUAUCUAAUGACC
ensembl:lincRNA